UGGGCCCCUUGAGUUUAUUCUUUUAAUCAU
rnacentral:piRNA from 1 species